UCGUUCCCAGCCACAGGCAAAUCGCCUCUUCCGUUCCUCUCUCUCAUCUCUCUCGUUCUUGCGCCGCCUCUGGAGUUCAUGGGGAGGAACACAACCAGCAGAUGCGGGCGAUUGGAACAGGCUGAAUGGACUCCAUGGAUCUCUCUGAUGUGCCUCCCGAGAUUGACCCGGAUGCUGCGUUUAGAUUGUCAAUCCAGAUUUCUCAGUUCUUAGCAAAGAUGGAAGAUGGUAGCUCUGUUGAUGUGCCUCGAAAAUGCUAUGAAUGGAUUGUAUACUAUCGCUGCUACACCAUGUUAUCUUUAGAAAAAGACUUGGCUGAAAGAGUUGGUUUUUGCAGCAACUACAAAAGGCAAUUGGCAACCCACCUUAUUUAGCUAUAAGUUCAAAUGCUUGCAAGGGCAUAGAGAAUGCUAUAAAGCAAGUGUACCCUUGGGCUGAGCAUAGAGAGUGCUUUUUUCACUUGAUGAAAAAAUUUGUUAAACAAUUUCAAGGUCCUACUUUUGGUAGGAUGUAUCCUGCUUCCAGGACAUAUCAGCCAGAAUAUUAUGAAUAUUUGAUGAAUGCCAGGUGUUUAGAGAGCAAAGGAGAUAUGAAUCUAAGACCAAAGGUGCAUGGAAGGUUCAAUGUAAGACUUGCUUCAAACAUGGUCACAGGUCAUCAUCACCAAAGUGUCCUAUGAAUGGACCCAAAAAAAAGGAAGAGUCGUGCAAAGCAAGGAAGACCAUUAGGUUCUGGAAAAGGAGAUGGUAGUACUAGCACACCCAAAAAACAGAAGACAGCAAGGGAACCUGGAGAAGUCACAUCUAGUCCUGGCCCUGUGACAAGGAGGCAAUCUGCAGCUGGCACCUCAAGCCCCGGCCCUGUGACAAGAAGUCAAUCAGCUCUGAGCAUGGAAGGUGGAGCAUUGACCAUCCCUGUUACCCCUACAAGGCCAACAAAAUCCCCAGAAAAAAGAAAGAAGGCUGCUGUCAAAAAGAAGCUCACUCCAAGGAAGGCAACAAAAUGAUAUGUGGCCUACUAUGCUUUUGUGAUUGCUUUCUGUAAUAUGUAGGCAACAGUACUUAUGUGGUUUAUUUUGGCACCUUGUAUGGUUGCUUUCUAUAAUAUGUAGGCAAUAGAACCUAUCUGGUUUAUUUAAAAACCUUCUAUGAUGCAUUCUGUAAUAUGUUGGCAGGAAACUGGAACCUGUAAGCUUCAAUUUCAGAAUGUUAUGCCACAUAGCUCAUGUUUGCAUGGA